AGCGGUCUCAACACCUAUACCAGAGCGCGAAGUAGUACGAAUGACUCUUCCCAGCAGUUUACAACGGCGCGACCUUCAUGCGGCCCAGUUCACUUCGAUCGCAGCGCCGCCCCAUUAUUUUUCUACGUCCUGCGCCUCACUGCAAAGCAUGCGCCGCCCCUGACAACUUUACUAGACUAGGUCUAGUAACGUUGUAACAGUGCAGCGUGAGGAAAACGGGAUCUCGUGCUCUCUUUGAGAAAUGAAACAAACUUGGGGGAAUUAUGUGCGGCCUCCGAGAUGUGAAAACGCAACCGAUCUCGAGGACCAUGAAUAUAUGUGCGUGUUCUUUUUUUUUUUUUUGCGCGAGAGCAUUUUUUUUAUGCAUGCGUGUGAGUGCCUGACGACUUACGCCCUCUGUGUACUGAGCGGAGAGACCACGUUAUAGUGCUAUUAUAGUAGCCCGUGAGAGGUCGCGACAUUCGCGACUAUCAUUGAUAAGUGUCGGCAGUAGCUCAGUAAGCGGGUACCAUAGUGAAGUAAAUCAUGGGUUAGAAGAUUGUAAAUGUGCUGAAGAAGCUACAGCAUUUGGCCAAGCAUUUUAGGCAGUGACGUGCAACAUUAUAAUGCUGAAGCUGAAUGCACCGUCCGAAAAUGUAUAGAUGUUGCUUUGGCACGUUUUUGUGACGUGACAGAAUAACAGUCUUGUUAUAAGUAUGCAGUCAAUUGCGGACUAAACCACAACGUCCUACAGCCGAAGGUCAAUAUAUCGGAAGGAAGGUUAGCUUGGUCGCCUAUCCAGAGCUGCUGCAAGACGUUGCACACAAACUCUGAUGAGCUUCCGCGAGAGCCCGAAAUAGGCGCGGAGGGAGUGAAGCCGGUAAAGCCCGAGGCGAGUGACCGCGGGCCGCCUCCUGUGGCACCCCACGUGGUGGUGGCUGGCUCGGCGACCCGCCCCCCGAGAUGGUAGCCGAAGGAAGAGGACCCUCGCCCUCUCCUCCGCGGCACGCAGCCAGCGGUGGGUGACGGGCCGCUGCCGCCGAAACCGGGACCCAACUGACUUGGCCCCGUCCGAACCUCCCCUGCGGACACCCCCGACGUCCCCCGACGGGGCGCACCACGCCCCGGAGUCCCCAGACCACUCCCCAGGCCACACCGGCGCAACUCCCACACGCACACCUCCCGGCAGUCCCCAAACCGCCCAAACCAUCCGGACCACGCACACUUGCCUCGAGUGGACUCGUCCGUGCGCCGGCGGCGGCACCCCCCGCCUCCGGUAACGAAGACUGACCCGCAUGAAGCGGCGGCGCAGUGGGCGCAGUUGGUUCUUCAUUCUAUGGGCGCAGUGCAAUUCGUUCCGCUGCUCGGAGGUGUGGUAGUGGCGCAUAUGCACAUUUUCCUCCCCGUUACCGUUUAGUCAAUCGUCGCAAAGUAUGUGUUCGCUUCUUAAAACGACGUGAGCAUGGACCGCUGACAUAUUUGGUAAUGCAUCUUGCAAGAAGUAACAGUGUAUAAAUCUUAUUUGCAGAUAACUUUAGGGUCAUAAUGUUCUUUUAGAUGGUUGUAGUACGUGUAGCUUCCAUCUUAAUCACCGAUAUUAUUUCAUCGAAGGAUGAAAAGUCAUCUUUGAUUGUAUAAGCGGAUAUACGUGCAUGACUGUGGGCCGGUGAGUAUGACAAUACUGCACGCAGCCUCACUUGGUCCGGUCUAGCUGGUAUUUUCUCUCUCUUAUUUUCAGCUUCGAUAUCCGCACAAUGCAUGUUGCGUGUAAUGAUUCGUGUGCCACUUAUCACAGCAAACGAAGCAUGUCACAAGAGGUGUAAAAGAGGCAGCAAGGAAAUGUUUUUCCGGCGCCUGUAAUUGCUUCUGGUUACAGCAGCAUGCGAAAGUCUGGCCUUCGAGAUUAGUUUCUGCUUCUCGGAGGGAACCGUCGCUGGAUGCGCGAUCUAAGGAGACUAAACAUUGUUCUUACGGUAAAAAUAUACAGAAGAAUUAAGACAGGGUACACGCCGACUGAACGUCAUCUUUGCCUUUUUUCAAUAAUAUGUUUCGAGCCUUAUAGUGCUUGUCCCAUUCGUACAUUCUGUAAAGAGGUAAUUGUUAGAGCGCCGGGGUGUUUAACAUUUCGAACUAAUUAGGUGAAGGCAUGGUCAUGCAAAAACUUUGUCCAUACAUUUAUAGUGAGAAAUUAUAUGACUUUGUCCACCAGCAAACUGGACGCCAGCAUUGAGAAGAAAAAAGAAUUUCUAUGACGCCAGUGCGCUGCACCUGGCGGCAGCACGGGCGGCGCUGCGAAAAGCAGGCGAGCCCAUGGCAGCCGCUUGGGGAGGGGCUCGCAGGGGCUUCACCUGCUGCGCGCUUCGCCCCCUGCCCAGGUGGAUUCUCCCUCUAACCGACAUCGAGCCGCCUUCCUUCCUGGCAGUGACCUCCAGAGUGAACGAUGGCGGUUUUCCCUUUCGCUGCUGCGCGAACAAGGCGCCGACUGGAGCUGGGUGCGAUGCUCGGCGAGCGCGAAAUGGAGCAGCCGUUGGCCAAACGUAGCCUUGACCGAUAUCGCACCCGGCGCUUCUCUUUCCACUCGUUUCAGGCGAGAAACGCCGCCUCUGCUCCGGAGGGAAUCUGCUUCGCUAUGCUGUGCGACAACGUCGUUGUGUUAAGCGGUUCUCAACCACUCUUGUGCACCCGUGAUAGCGCUUCUAUGGCCCAAGAGGAGAGGAAUAGCUUAUGAGACAUAGCUUAUGAGGCAAAAUAAUAAAUGAGCAACAAUAUAGAUAAAAACAUUGUGCCCAUAUAAGUCUAUAGCAAGCAGCGUUGCUCGACACUUUCCACAUCGUCCCCGCUCGCUGUUCAUUCCACUGCAUCAUUUAGGGUGGUCGGAUGGUGGCGAGCUGCUCUACGUGUCAAGGUAACGGGUGAAGGUCGUUUGCCCCGAAAGCGGGGGAAGAAGACUUCGGAGCGCACGUAGCUAUCUUAGCUCUUAGUUAAAUCACAACGCGCUAAAAACGUUAUAUUAAACGUUAUCCGCGCCUGUCUUGUGUGUUCCUUCCUUGUCCCUUGUUUUUCAGUGCGGUUACAUGAUGCAUUCCAUUAACGACCACCAACUAGCCCGCUUAUCCCUGUUAAAUAAAUCCUUGCCGUGCGUGUUAUCUUUUCUAUUUGGCUUUCAUUAUAAAGUAUACUCAGCAGCAUAAAUAUACUAGUGAUCAUCAUUUCCAUCCAAUUUUACUAAAGUAUGGAUCGAUCAACUGUGCCCGACACCGGCCGCCGGCAUCGCAGCUUGACGCUCGUGGAAACGAAACCUGCGGACCUUGACCUAGGGAGGGCCGCGCCGUUGUUACGAAUCGGCAGGCCGGGAGUUCCUCGACCGCUGUGGGCGCGUGGUCCGCAAACACCGAAACCGCGAUAUUCUGUUGCGGGAAGCGGCCAACUGCUCCAGUUGGGCGCAGCUGUAGCGAGGCCAGCAGGUCAGCCGGCUUCGGGGUCGGGGGACACCGGUGGAUGACCUGGACUGGACAAGAGCCAAAACUCGUAACAUCGCGCGCCCUAUAUAUACGGAGCAUUCAGUGACCCGCCUUGACCACGAUCCGAAGAUGCAGGUGUGUCCACAGAGGGUCUGAUAUCAAGCUAUAGGAGCAAAGCUUUUGAAGCAUAUUAGCAAUGCCCGGGAUUACGUUUAUGCAUGCACACGAUCUUUUGCAUCCAACGGUCGACGAAACAGGUGCAUCGGCUGCGUGUCGAAAACGAGGUUGCUCACGCCAUUUCCAAUUAAUGAACUCUCUUAUUAGCAAAUAAUUUUUGAAAACAGCGUUUUCAGAGUGACCUAUAUGAACCUGGUGCUACAGGACAGACUCGUGAGCGCGGUCCCUGUUAAUGGCUGUAAAGGUCCGUGUAAUUAUUCCCGCCCUUAUUCUCUAUACGCGUAGUGCGCGCCGAUGGACGCGCCACUGGUGGCGGCCUUGCGCAGAACACACGGGAGAGGAGCCAGCGGCGCGCCGUAUUUUUCUUGUGUCGUUUAUAGUGCUUCUCUUAAGAGCAAAAUGGGCAACACCCUUCGCAUGUGUGGGGUGCCCAAAGCUUCAAGGAAUCUCGAAGAAGAAUUGUUGCAGGGUGGGGGGCUCAAAUACCGGCGAAAACCUGCCGGCGAUAGGGUUCUAAUCAUUCCCCGCAAAGCCUCAUCAGCGGGAGCAACGGUAGCAAAAAUGGAUCGUCGCUCCGCGGGAAAUUUCUAGCUCUCAUCCUUUCCUUUGUCUCGUCGGUGUUUUUUCCCACUCGAUCAUAGUUAGACGCGUACGCGACGAAGUUCGUCUGCAGCGCAGCAUGCGGUUUAAAGGCAUUUCGCUAAAGUUCGGAAGGACGUUUGCCGCAUUGUUUUCCGCUUCUUUACCGCGUUGCGCUAGCUAGGCAGCACGACUGCACGAGCGCAUUGUGUUGUAUGUUAAAGCUACUGAAGUUUGCAAGAACUGAAAUUGUUGGUGUUAUGUGGCCCGGUAAAUCCACGCACCAGCGCUGUCGCGCACUGCAUGUUUUUACACCUAUUUUAUGCGUGGCUUCGCACAUGUUUAACUGUUGCUAGUUGCUCCAUACAUAACUCUUGUUGAUUCUUUUGAGCUGCGAGGUUUUCACCCUGCCUCGUUUGUAAAGGGUAUAAAUCACGCUGUGUCUUAUCGGAAUGAUACCAAGCAAGUGCUUCUUUAACAGCUUUAUUCUCUUUGCCCGAUGGCUUCUUAGAUAUUGUGUUCUUUGGGAAAAUGUGUUUAGAAAAUAGGUAGUUCAGGGCCAGAAUUGCUAAUAGUGGCUGCAUAUGGUACUUUUGUUUCAUUUUUUCGCUGAAAAGUUCGCGUCACGUUUAGGAAGUCAUCACACCUCGAUGCUGCCUGAGCAGACUUAACACGCCGAGUGAUUUGUUUGUUCCACAACGUAGUCCCUUCUUGCAUGUGAAUUUUGUACUCAACUGCAUUCUUUCUUAUUAUGCUUACGCUGCAGAGGACUAAACCCGGCCUUGCCGUCAGCGCUCAUCUACUUCGACUGGCGCUGCUGUGCCUUUAAAUAUAUCAUGUGGCACCUCCGUCUAGUAAUAUAAAAAAAGUACUGAAAAGUUAGUCAGACUUUAGCUUCGUACGUUUCCAAACGGGUUCCUUGGGGAAUUUAAAAUUCCAAAAACUGCAGCGGGAACGGCAGUCCAUCGGCGUAUGCAGCAGAAUUGCAUCGGCGGUACAGCACUAACACGCGCUUUUAUUAACCCGUGUGUUUGGUGACUUCGUCGGCUAGUGUACGCGUUUCCAUCAAUAAAUUCGCAAUUACUCUUCUU